AUCUAGAUGACGAGUUUCAAAAUGAACGAAACGCACGUCCUGGAU
rfam:Schistosoma haematobium scaffold2422_1, whole genome shotgun sequence.